UACAGUUUCAUGAUGAAGUGGUACAGAGGAGGAUUUUCUUUCACCAAAACAUCAAAUCUAGGCUUGCAUCUCAGAUGUACUUACUGGCAAAUUGUGGCUGAACUAUAUGGUAUUC